rnacentral:rRNA from 1 species
GACAGAGGGUGCAAACGUUGCUCGGAAUUACUGGGCGUAAAGGGCGCGUAGGCGGCCUGCUAAGUCGAACGUGAAAUCCCUGGGCUCAACCCAGGAACUGCGUCCGAUACUGGUUGGCUUGAAUCCGGGAGAGGGAUGUGGAAUUCCAGGUGUAGCGGUGAAAUGCGUAGAUAUCUGGAGGAACACCGGUGGCGAAGGCGACAUCCUGGACCGGCAUUGACGCUGAGGAGCGAAAGCCAGGGGAGCAAACGGG